rnacentral:rRNA from 1 species
GAUGAACGCUGGCGGCGUGCCUAAUACAUGCAAGUCGAGCGAACAGACGAGGAGCUUGCUCCUCUGACGUUAGCGGCGGACGGGUGAGUAACACGUGGAUAACCUACCUAUAAGACUGGGAUAACUUCGGGAAACCGGAGCUAAUACCGGAUAAUAUAUUGAACCGCAUGGUUCAAUAGUGAAAGACGGUUUUGCUGUCACUUAUAGAUGGAUCCGCGCCGCAUUAGCUAGUUGGUAAGGUAACGGCUUACCAAGGCGACGAUGCGUAGCCGACCUGAGAGGGUGAUCGGCCACACUGGAACUGAGACACGGUCCAGACUCCUACGGGAGGCAGCAGUAGGGAAUCUUGCGCAAUGGGCGAAUGCCUGACGGAGCAACGCCGCGUGAGUGAUGAAGGUCUUCGGAUCGUAAAACUCUGUUAUUAGGGAAGAACAAAUGUGUAAGUAACUAUGCACGUCUUGACGGUACCUAAUCAGAAAGCCACGGCUAACUACGUG